UUUCAGGCGCCUGCUGGUGGAAUGUUGGACGGCCCGUAAGCUGGAAGAGUGGAAGCGUGGGAUCGAGCUGACUGUGAAGCGCUACGGGAGGGACUUCACUCGGUGGAACAGGUUCAACUCAUUCGCACCAGUCAGGACGGACACACAGGCACAAUGGUUUGUGGAUGCAGCCUCGUACAUGGCUGCUGUGGCUGAAGGCUUGGAGGCUGCAAAGGAGGAAAUCUUCAUCGCUGACUGGUGGUUCAGUCCAGAGAUCUACCUCAUUCGUCCCGUAGCCGCUGAAGGGGAAAAAUGGAGACUCGACCAAGUCCUGAAGAGAAAAGCGGUAGGUCCAAGGGCAUGUAGG